CAGUUCUGUGGGAAUGCGCCUGGAACAAGGAGCUGCUGGAGACGCAUGGCUCAUUGGAGAUCGGGGGUAUGCCCUGGCUAAUGACGCCACUAACAAACCCUCAGACGCACCAAGAGGCCUCUUAUAACCAGAGGCACGCACGCACCCGCUCCACCAUUGAGCGAACCAUUGGUAUUCUGAAGGGGACGCUGGCUGUGUUGGGACACAGCAGGCGGGAAGCUGCUUUACAAGCCAGAGAAGGUUUGCAGAAUAAUCAUGGCCUGUUGU